rnacentral:rRNA from 1 species
UACGUAGGGUGCAAGCGUUAAUCGGAAUUACUGGGCGUAAAGCGUGCGCAGGCGGUUGUGCAAGACAGAUGUGAAAUCCCCGGGCUCAACCUGGGAAUUGCAUUUGUGACUGCACGGCUAGAGUGUGUCAGAGGGGGGUAGAAUUCCACGUGUAGCAGUGAAAUGCGUAGAGAUGUGGAGGAAUACCGAUGGCGAAGGCAGCCCCCUGGGAUAACACUGACGCUCAUGCACGAAGGCGUGGGGAGCAAACAGG